UAAUUUUUGCUGACCUCCGACUGUUCGAACCGUUACUCAUCACCUCCACCGACGGCGGAUCUCAACGGCGACUCUGGUUCAGAGAUGAGAGAUCUUGAUUAUGUGUGAAGAGGACUCUCAACAGUUCGUAGAGGAGAUUCAUGAAAUAAAAGUGGUUGGUGUCAAGGAAUCAAUUUCAUCAGAGGGAGAACCAUACUGCACAAAACAAUUGAUUCCCCAAUCUAAGGUACAAGUCUCUUUUCUGGAACCUAGUCAUAGACUUUACAGUGAUAUAGGUGUUUCACAAUGCUAUUUCAGUUUUUAAAGCUGAUUCCCCAAUCUACUUGAAGCACAAAUGGCGAUCCAAGAGACUGCAAACUCAGUUGAAUAGCUUGUUGUCUCAUCAACUACCUUGUUAAAUCAAAUCUCUAUCACUUUGUACUGCAAAAAAUAUUUCCUUUUCUCUUUGUUUCUUUUGUAUGGACUGGAGUCAGUAUAUAUGACACUAAAGAUUCAAUGGCAACUGGACUAAGAGAGACGCUGGUGGAUGAGAAGAUCUAUGUAGCAGUGAGAGAGAGAGAACUAAAGAGCAAGACUACUCUCGUUUGGUCGAUACAGAACAGUGGAGGCAAAGAAUUUUGUAUUGUCCACGUUCAUCAACCGAUCUCAGUCCCGGGAGCGAUGUCCCAUUUCAAGCAGGGAAGCUAGAAGAAGAGAUAACUUGUAUCUAGAAGGUGAUGUCCGAUGUUUGAAAUGGUGUUAAUGUUGCAAAGGUUUUGUGUGUGUGUUUUCAGAUUUGUGAACCAUCAAAGCUAGAGAGUAGAGAGUUUCUGAAAAAACUGCAGGGACUUCUCCACAGAGAUGGAAUGAAAUGUCAAAGUGGUGAUAAGUGCCUGUGCAAACCUUGGAAGAAGGAGGACAUUCCAACUUGUCUAUCAUCAAGUCUUGUGAAGGUCCUAACGAUAUUGAAGUUUGGAGAUAUCUAUGAAGAUGAGGACAUGAACAGAAUGAUGGAGCAAGUACUUCCUUGAGACAACAUACACACCCUAUCGUUACAAUUGCAGCUUAUGAUACGAAACAAAUUUCCUAGUUUUAACUUCAAUAUUCAUGUAUCAAAUGUACAAUAAAAAUUGAUUAUUAUA